UCGGGAAUUUUGGGCAAUGGGCGAAAGCCUGACCCAGCAACGCCGCGUGAGGGAUGAAGUAUUUCGGUAUGUAAACCUCGAAAGAAUGGGGAGAAUAAAUGACGGUACCAUUUAUAAGCUCCGGCUAACUACGUGCCAGCAGCCGCGGUAAUACGUAGGGAGCAAGCGUUGUUCGGAUUUACUGGGCGUAAAGGGCGCGUAGGCGGCGCGGUAAGUCACUUGUGAAAUCUCUGAGCUUAACUCAGAACGGCCAAGUGAUACUGCUGUGCUAGAGGGCGGAAGAGGCAACCGGAAUUCUUGGUGUAGCGGUGAAAUGCGUAGAUAUCAAGAGGAACACCUGAGGCGAAGGCGGGUUGCUGGGCCGACACUGACGCUGAUGCGCGGAAGCCAGGGGAGCAAACG
rnacentral:rRNA from 1 species